AUUGAACGCUGGCGGCAUGCUUUACACAUGCAAGUCGAACGGUAACAGGGUGCUUGCACCGCUGACGAGUGGCGAACGGGUGAGUAAUGCGUCGGAACGUGCCGAGUAGUGAGGGAUAACGCAGCGAAAGUUGUGCUAAUACCGCAUACGUACUGAGGUAGAAAGUGGGGGACCUUCGGGCCUCACGCUAUUCGAGCGGCCGACGUCUGAUUAGCUAGUAGGUGAGGUAAAGGCUCACCUAGGCGACGAUCAGUAGCGGGUCUGAGAGGAUGCUCCGCCACACUGGGACUGAGACACGGCCCAGACUCCUACGGGAGGCAGCAGUGGGGAAUUUUGGACAAUGGGCGAAAGCCUGAUCCAGCCAUGCCGCGUGUCUGAAGAAGGCCUUCGGGUUGUAAAGGACUUUUGUCAGGGAGGAAAUCCCUAGCGUUAAUACCGCUGGGGGAUGACAGUACCUGAAGAAUAAGCACCGGCUAACUACGUGCCAGCAGCCGCCGUAAUAC
rnacentral:rRNA from 1 species